GAUGAACGCUGGCGGCGUGCCUAAUACAUGCAAGUCGAGCGAACAGACGCGGAGCUUGCUCCUCUGACGUUAGCGGCGGACGGGUGAGUAACACGUGGAUCACCUACCUAUAAGACUGGGAUAACCUCGGGACACCGGAGCUAAUACCGGAUAAUAUAUUGAUCCGCAUGGUUCAAUAGUGAAAGACGGUUUUGCUGUCACUUAUAGAUGGAUCCGCGCCGCAUUAGAUAGUUGGUAAGGUCACGGCUUACCAAGGCAACGAUGCGUAGCCGACCUGAGAGGGUGAUCGGCCGCACGGGAACGGGAACACGGUCAAGGCGCCUACGGGAGGCAGCAGUAGGGAAUCUUCCGCAGUGGGCGAAAGCUUGACGGAGCGACGCCGCGUGAGUGAUGGAGGUCUUCGGAUCGGAAAACUGUGUUAUGAGGGGAAAACAAAUGUGUAAGUAACUAUGCACGUCUUGACGGUACCUAAUCAGAAAGCCACGGCUAACUACGUG
rnacentral:rRNA from 1 species